rnacentral:rRNA from 1 species
AGUCGAACGAGAAUCUGUGGAUCGAGGAUUCGUCCAAGUGAAGCAGAGGACAGUGGCGGACGGGUGAGUAACGCGUGAGGAACCUGCCUUUCAGAGGGGGACAACAGUUGGAAACGACUGCUAAUACCGCAUGAUACAUUUGGGUGGCAUCAUCUGAAUGUCAAAGAUUUAUCGCUGAAAGAUGGCCUCGCGUCUGAUUAGCUGGUUGGUGAGGUAACGGCCCACCAAGGCGACGAUCAGUAGCCGGACUGAGAGGUUGACCGGCCACAUUGGGACUGAGAUACGGCCCAGACUCCUACGGGAGGCAGCAGUGGGGAAUAUUGGGCAAUGGGCGCAAGCCUGACCCAGCAACGCCGCGUGAAGGAAGAAGGCUUUCGGGUUGUAAACUUCUUUUAAUGGGGAAGAGCAGAAGACUGUACCCAUAGAAUAAGCCACGG